rnacentral:lncRNA from 1 species
AAAUAUGUUAAUGCUAGUCCCAAGAGAGGAGGGCAAAUUUUGAGGUGUUACAGCUGCCCCUAUUCAAUCCACUGUGAACCUGUCGAUACGAAAUAGCCUCGGCUUUCGGAUGAUCAGGAUGAAGAGUGAUUGAAUACCAAGAACAGACGAACAAUUUGCACUCUGAUGGGAUAAUAAUUAACAACGCCUGUCAGCAUCGGCGAGGAAACAAACUCGAAAAACGUCGACCUGGAUACCAAAAUAAAUGGUA